CAAAAUGGGGUGGUGAAGCGUAAAAAUCGUCAUGUUGUGGAAAUUGCUAGAUCUCUUUCACUGGAGUCUCAUGUUCCAUCUCAAUUUCGGGUAGAGGAUAUCCAUAUUGUUGUUCAUCUUAUAAACAGACAUACUACUCCUAUAUUUGGUUGUUAGUCAAUUUGUUUCUCAGCCUCGACUUUCUCAUCUUUUAGCACUUCAUUGAAUCAUUCGCUAUCUUAAGGGCACUUGUGAACGUGGUCUUUUCUUUCCUUCCAACACACCUCUUACUCUAGAAGCAUAUUCCGAUGCUGACUGUGCCAGGUGUGUUGACACUUGCUGUUCCACGACAGGUUGGUGUAUUUUCUUAAGUGCUUCCCCCAUUUCAUGGAAGUGUAAGAAGCGAGACAAGGUAUUCAAAUCUUCUACUGAAGCUGAGUAUCGAUUCAUGUGUUCUGUUAGUUCUGAACUUGAAUGGCUUCGAAGACUUUUCCUUGACUUUGGUGUUAGUGGUGAUCAUACAUCUAUUCCUCUAUUUGUGAUAAUACUAGCACUAUCAGCAUUGCAACCAAUCCAGUUCAUCAUGAGCGGAUGAAACACAUUAAAGUUGAUUGUCAUUACAUCCGUUAAUUGGUUGAAGAAAAAGUUUUAUGCCUUGUUCA